AAUAUGUUCCCCUUCGAGAGGUUCAUGGGAGUAUUAAAGAAAUAUGUUCGUAACCGUGCUAGGCCAGAAGGAAGCAUCGCCAAGGGCUAUGGAAAUGAGGAGGUAAUUGAGUUUUGUGUUGACUUUGUUCCUGACCUUAAGCCGAUUGGUCUUCCUCGAUCGCGGCACAAGGGGAGACUAAGUGGAAAAGGCACGAUCGGAAGGAAAUCAACGAUAUGUAUGGACGGCCAUUCUCUGACUGAAGCACACCACACUGUACUGACCAAUUCCAGCUUGGUGGCUCCGUACUUUGAGAAACACAAGAAUAUUUUACGCUCGGACAACCCGGGGAAGCCUGAAUCCUGGAUUAGGAAGGCCCACAUGGAGACUUUCGGCAGUUGGUUGAGAAAACAUUUAAUGAAUGACAAUGAUGUUGUAGAUCAGCUGUACAUGUUGGCCAAGACACCAUCUUCGACUAUAACGACUUUCCAAGGGUACGAGAUAAAU
rnacentral:rRNA from 1 species